CAUGAGUUUUUUUUAUGGAAAUCAAAUCACCAUGACUGCAGUGCAUGUUCUAAUAGACAUAUUUUCCAUUCUUUAUGGAAUCAAAAAAUGCCACCUAAAACAAGGAGAGGAAUUUGGAAUCCCCACCUGCAGCAGAAAUAAAUAAGUCUUUAUGGAAUCAAACCAUCACAAGCCAAUCCUCGCUUCCUUAUCUCAUUCCACAAGUUUUGUAAUGAAGAUUUCAUCAUCAUGGCUGCAAUCUCUGGAGGGCAAGCAUGUCCUCGUAACAGGUGGAUCAAGUGGGAUUGGUCUUGCCAUUGCCAAAGAGGCUCUCUCUCAAGGAGCAUUUGUCACACUUAUAGACAGAAGCUCCACUAAUUUGGAGAAAGAAGAACGAAAUCUUGCCAAAAAUGGUGAUAUCAAACAUUAAAUAUUAACCAAGGUUGCAGAUGUGGGUGUGUAUGAAACUUUGGCAAAGGCAAUAAAUGAAUCUUUUGAAUGGAGAGCUGUUGACGUGCUUGUUUGCAAUGCAGCUGUUGCAAAAUUUGUAGUUCUGUAUGAGGGCAGGAUUGAAGAUCUGCGUGACAUCAUUCAGACUAACUUGACAGGAGUUGUCAAUACUCUGCAUGUUGGGAUUCCAUUGAUGAAGAAGAGGAGUCCCCAAACACCCAUGUCCAUUGUUCUCAUGAGUUCCCUCUCGGGACUGGUGGCUUGGAAGAUGACAAAGAUAUCUUUCAAAUUACAAAGGACACGAGUUUCUAUAAUCGAAGCCGAGCAAACACACCUGAAUGUGUUGCAAAAUAUACAUUAGAAGCAACAAAGAAUGGAAAAUUUCUUGUCACAAGCCAAUUCACUGGCCUUGCAUUAUUGACAUUAGCUCGUGGAUCUAUGCCUGCAGACUCAUUUGGAAGGGCUUUGGUUGAAUUCAUAUUAUUUAUUCCCAUUAGACUCUUUAGCUUCUUGGCUGCUUGUUAUAUCUAUUAUGUUAUAAAACAUAGAGUUAACAAGAAAUUUUAGAAUGCUCUUCUUAGAAGAAAA